rnacentral:rRNA from 1 species
UACAACUUUCAGCAACGGAUCUCUUGGCUCUCCCAUCGAUGAAGAACGCAGCGAAAUGCGAUAAGUAAUGUGAAUUGCAGAAUUCAGUGAAUCAUCGAAUCUUUGAACGCACCUUGCGCCCUUUGGUAUUCCGAAGGGCAUGCCUGUUUGAGUGUCAUUAAAUUC